UACGAAGGGUGCAAGGCGUUACUCGGAAUUACUGGGCGUAAAGCGUGCGUAGGUGGUGAGUUAAGUCUGUCGUGAAAGCCCCGGGCUCAACCUGGGAAUGGCGAUGGAUACUGGCUCGCUAGAGUGCGGUAGAGGAGAGUGGAAUUCCCGGUGUAGCAGUGAAAUGCGUAGAGAUCGGGAGGAACAUCAGUUGCGAAGGCGGCUCUCUGGACCAGCACUGACACUGGAGGCACGAAAGCGUGGGGAGCAAACAGG
rnacentral:rRNA from 1 species